rnacentral:rRNA from 1 species
UACAGAGGUCUCGAGCGUUAGGCGGAAUCACUGGGCUUAAAGCGUGUGUAGGCUGAUUGCUAAGUACCUUGUGAAAUCCCACGGCUUAACCGUGGAACUGCUUGGUAUACUGGCUGUCUUGAGCCACUUAGGGGCAACCGGAACAAACGGUGGAGCGGUGAAAUGCGUAGAUAUCGUUUGGAACGCCAAUGGUGAAAACAGGUUGCUGGGAGUGUGCUGACGCUGAGAGACGAAAGCUAGGGGAGCGAAUGGG